GAAACUCCCCCUAAGAUUAGAUCUCUCACUCUAAAUGAGGUAAGGCACGAUGUGGACUACAUCGUUGAUAGGCCGGAGGUGGAAGCACGGUAACGUGUGUAGCUGACCGGUACUAAUCCGCCGAGGGCUUGACCUU
rnacentral:rRNA from 1 species